UACGGGGGGGGCAAGCGUUGUUCGGAAUUACUGGGCGUAAAGGGCUCGUAGGCGGCCAACUAAGUCAGACGUGAAAUCCCUCGGCUUAACCGGGGAACUGCGUCUGAUACUGGAUGGCUUGAGGUUGGGAGAGGGAUGCGGAAUUCCAGGUGUAGCGGUGAAAUGCGUAGAUAUCUGGAGGAACACCGGUGGCGAAGGCGGCAUCCUGGACCAACACUGACGCUGAGGAGCGAAAGCUAGGGGAGCAAACAGG
rnacentral:rRNA from 1 species